AGUCUGACAAAUAUGCGUGACAUGGCUGUGUGUUGUCAUGCAUAAAUGUGAGACAUCU
rnacentral:pre_miRNA from 1 species